AAUCCAUAGGUUAAUGAGGCGAACCGGGGGAACUGAAACAUCUAAGUACCCCGAGGAAAAGAAAUCAACCGAGAUUCCCCCAGUAGCGGCGAGCGAACGGGGAGGAGCCCAGAGCCUGAAUCAGCAUGUGUGUUAGUGGAAGCGUCUGGAAAGGCGCGCGAUACAGGGUGACAGCCCCGUACACAAAAGCGCAUGUGCUGUGAGCUCGAUGAGUAGGGCGGGACACGUGGUAUCCUGUCUGAAUAUGGGGGGACCAUCCUCCAAGGCUAAAUACUCCUGACUGACCGAUAGUGAACCAGUACCGUGAGGGAAAGGCGAAAAGAACCCCGGCGAGGGGAGUGAAAAAGAACCUGAAACCGUGUACGUACAAGCAGUGGGAGCCCCACCACUAAGCCAGUGGUGAACUCCACAUACGCAUCCUUUGCUGAGGAUACGGUUAACGGAGCGAAAGCGACGUUCAACCGCAAAAGAAGCAGAGGGGGCUUAGUGGUGGGGUGACUGCGUACCUUUUGUAUAAUGGGUCAGCGACUUAUAUUCUGUAGCAAGGUUAACCGAAUAGG
rnacentral:rRNA from 1 species